AUGGCCUCGAGCCCGGGCGUCGGCGGCGGAGGGGCGGACGGGGGCGUCGGGGAUGGACCGACGACGCUGGACGAGCUGUACCACAUCAACGUCGUGCCUGCCGAGCUGCACUUCAAGUUCCGCAAGGAGCUCCAGGGCCUCCGCGUCGGCCUCAACUUCGAGUUCUACAAUCUAGAGGUGAAUGAUUUUGAGGCAAAGGUAGUUCUGAAGCCCCUGGACUUCGACCGGAAGUGGAAGUUCCAGUACAAGCCCAUCAGCGGUGACAUACAGCUACUCUCCAAGAAGAUACCAGUCACAAAAUAUCUCAACCUUCAGGUCGGCAUUGGUCACAAUUUCCAACUGAAGGCAACUGGAUGGAAGUGGAAGCUCUCUACUUGCUUGGGGGGAGAUGGUGUUUCUCAGAUAAGAAACAAAUCAAAACUCAACCUGUUUCCAGGGUUUGAUCUGAGGCUCGGCUGGAAAGCUGAAUAUGUUCUUCCUGAGAUUCAUGGGGCUGUUGGCACAGGAGAACCUGCCUUCAGUAUGAACUAUGGACGAUUGCAAGCAUCCAUAGACCGUGUUGAGGCUAUUGUGACCCAAUCAGAUCGGUGCUGA
rnacentral:rRNA from 1 species